CAAACAAAGAGAGAGAGAGAGAGAAAGAGAGAGAGCAAGGAAGGUAGUUUUUGGAAAAGCAGAAUGUAGAGGAAGAAGAUCGAUCUAAUAAUCUUCUUCUAAGAUGGCUUCUCUUUCUUCUUAUGAAAGAUGGCUAGCUCUCAGCACGGGCA